rnacentral:rRNA from 2 species
CAACUUUCAACAACGGAUCUCUUGGCUCUCGCAUCGAUGAAGAA